rnacentral:rRNA from 1 species
AUUGAACGCUGGCGGCAGGCCUAACACAUGCAAGUCGAGCGGAUGAAGGGAGCUUGCUCCUGGAUUCAGCGGCGGACGGGUGAGUAAUGCCUAGGAAUCUGCCCGGUAGUGGGGGAUAACGUCCGUUAACGGGCGCUAAUACCGCAUACGUCAUGAGGUUGAAAGUCGUGGAUCUUCGGACCUCACGCUAUCAGAUGAGCCUAGGUCGGAUUAGCUAGUUGGUGGGGUAAAGGCCUACCAAGGCGACGAUCCGUAACUGGUCUGAGAGGAUGAUCAGUCACACUGGAACUGAGACACGGUCCAGACUCCUACGGGAGGCAGCAGUGGGGAAUAUUGGACAAUGGGCGAAAGCCUGAUCCAGCCAUGCCGCGUGUGUGAAGAAGGUCUUCGGAUUGUAAAGCACUUUAAGUUGGGAGGAAGGGCAGUAAGUUAAUACCUUGCUGUUUUGACGUUACCAACAGAAUAAGCACCGGCUAACUUCGUG